CAACUAAUAAGAUAGCGCACAUACUGGGGGAAGAUGGGACAAAAAAGCUAGGACCCCAAGAGAUUGGUGACGCGUUCGCCACAUUCUAUUCCAAACUGUAUAACUUGAGGGACGACCCCGAUACACAUACCCCCACUGUAGAUGAGGUAAAAGCAUUUCUCGCCCGCAUCAAACUGCCCCGACUAUCGAGUAGCCAAAUCGAAACCCUAACAUGCCCCCUCACCGUGAAAGAGAUAUUAGACACUAUCAAAGAGUUACCGAAUGGCAAGUCCCCCGGAGCAGAUGGGCUCUCAAACCUCUAUUACAAAAAGUAUGCCCAAACAUUGGCACCACACCUGCUGGAAACCUUCCACCAGGCGAUGGAGAGGGGAGCAUUGCCGGCAGAAAUGCUGCGGGCCACUAUAGUGACUCUGCCGAA